UUCAGGCUCUCAUCACCUUUUGCCUUGAUGAUGAUUGUGACAGCAGCUUAGAGUGGCCUUGUGGCCAGAACACUGGGCUUGGUGUCUAGAAGAUCCAGUCCUGCCUCAGCUGCCUGUGACUCUGGAGCAAGUCAUUUAGUCUGUCAUCCUCCACGUCCUCACGCGUAUGGUGAAGUGAUAAUAGCUGUGGCAUUGACCUCCCAGAAUUGUUGGGAAGAGCAAAUGAGCUAAUGCAUAUAAAGCACUAUCUGAAAGACCUUUUAUUGUGGCAGAAUUCUGAUCGUGUUUAAAAAUCGAUCUUACUGAUGUCUUUUGUUUUUACAUCCCCUUCAUUUCUGCAGUGAUCCCUGGCCCUGCCUCACCUCAUCGUGCUCCCCAGACGAGCUUUCCCUGGUAAAAGAGAGAGGAUCCCCAACUAACCCAUCAUCAACUUCUCUGAUAGAGGGCCAGUUCCGCGUUCAUCACUCCCCUGCACCACACGACCUUCCCAUGGAACUUGGUGCUCAGGGAAGAGUUGGUAUUUCCAUCUAAGUGGAACAGAGCAUGCAGAGGAGGAGAGCCAUGUGAAAUAAAGUGGGAAGAGAUGUGGGAGCUCACCUGGUGCUGCAGACAUUGAAGGGCACAGCAGUUCCAUCAGGAGACUGUUCCAGAUCCAUUUUUUCUUCAAUACCGAUGGCUUUGAUGACUGCUGCUUUAUAAAAUAGUUUGGCUCUUUAUCCUUAACUUUUUUGAUGAUUUCCCUUGAUGUUACAGAUCUUUUAUUUUUCCAAAUGAAUUGUCAUUUUUAUUAGGUUCUGUAAAG